rnacentral:rRNA from 1 species
CGGUAAUACGGAGGGUGCGAGCGUUAAUCGGAAUUACUGGGCGUAAAGCGCAUGCAGGUGGUUUGUUAAGUCAGAUGUGAAAGACCCGGGGCGUCAACCUCGGAAUAGCAUUUGUAAACUAGGCAGACUAGAGUACUGUAGAGGGGGGUAGGAAUUUCAGGUGUAGCGGUGAAAUGCGUAGAGAUCUGAAGGAAUACCGGUGGCGAAGGCGGCCCCCUCGGACAGAUACUGACACUCAGAUGCGAAAGCGUGGGGAGCAAACAGGAUUAGAUACCCUGGUAG